CCCUUUUUGUGCAUGCAUACAUCUGCCCACUGAGCCACCAAACAUGUUGUAAGGCUUAAUCUGUCAAUGGUGUGACUCUGUGUUUACAUUGUUCCUGGUAGAAUUAUUAUGCUUGGCUCUCUACUCUAGUAGUGCUGUCUCUAGAGGCGACCGUGAUUUUGUUAUACACAUGAUGAUGCAAGUAUGGACUGCUAUUUGUUUCAUAUGUACUACCAUCAUAUAAAUGCCUGCCAUGUUCUUCAUCUCCCCUCCGUCUGAUUCCUUCUGCCUGCGUUUGUUUUGUGUCUCAGAUUUGUAGAAGCUACCGCUGCUGUAGGUGGAACAGGAAGAAGCCCUCAUGGCUGCUGCACAUCUGAAGUGGUGAGCGCCACCCCAUUUUUUUGGUACUAUGAAGUGUUAGUUGGUACUGUGAAGUGUUAGUUGAUGGUUGGUUAGUCUGUUAAUCAAAGUUUUCUUACAUGCUGCGAAUAUAUACUACAAACACCAGAGUUGAUCAUUAAAACAUAUGUCGCUCCUAUUUUUUGUGUGAAAAUGUACUAGUUAUCUGCAAUAAAAGCUAGACAUGAACCAGCUCUUGCUUCUAAAGGAACAUAGUAUAAAUUUAGACCUCGUGUGUGAUGCUAUAGAUUUAUAAAUUUUGCUUUAUCUUAUUCCCUAGCUGGCACUAUAAAUUUUGCUUUGUCUUGUUGAUAAUGCUAUAUGUCUUAUGCAAUCAAAUUACAUUUCUGUUUUUUAUGGUAAUAUAAAAAAUAUUCGUGCUGUCAAAAUUUUCACAGUGCGUGUUUCCCUUGUACUCAAUAUGCUUCUAAUGGCCGAUCCUUCCAUUUUUGUUGUGGCAUCUUUACUUUCACAGGUGUUUUGUGUUCUGGAAGAUGGAAGAGGAAGAAAACUUAUUUUUGUUGAACUAAAUUUU
rnacentral:lncRNA from 1 species